AAAGCGCUUGUCCUCCUCCACGUAGAUCUUUCCAGUCGCAUGUUGAAGUUGGAGAAGGAUCAUGUCUAGCCACUCUCCUGAAUACAACAGGCUGCAUCAUCGCCCAAGCACGGGCAAGACUGCCAUGUUUGCCAUCUCUAUCCUGCAGAAUUGUACCCAGGCUCUGGUGCUGGCCCCCACCACAGAGCUGGCUCAGCAGGUAUGCUGUGCCUGAGGUCUGGAUGAACGUACAUGUUUAUCAGACCGAGGCGGCAUAUUUGGACAAUCUACAACUAAAAAGAGCCAGAAGGGACUUCUGGCUCUGGGGGACUACAUGGGGGCGGCCUGCCAUGCCUAAGUUGGGCACUAAUGUCUGCAAAGAGAUGCAGAAGCUGCAGACUGGGUCCCCCCGCAUAGUGGUAGGAACUCCAGGCUGGAUGUUUGAUGCUUAAUAGGUGACGCCUAGCCUUGCUGUAGAAAAUAGAAGUUAAACCUUGUUGCCACAAGGCAAUCAACAUGGGCUUGUCUCAUCCCCAGCCACCCCACUUCCAUAUAAAAGAACUGUGCUAAAAUUGCAGAAUCCAGGUGGCCCUCCUGUCAGCCACCAUGCCUACUGAUGUGCUGGAGGUGACCAGGAACUUCAUGCGAGAGCCCAUUGGCAUUCUGGUGAAAUAAAAGGAAUUUCCCUAGAGGGUAUUAAGCCGUUCUACAUCAAUGUAGAGAGGAGUGGAAGUUGGACACAUUGUGCAACCUGUACGGGAUGCCAACAGUCACUCCGGCAGGCAUCUUCCUAACACCGGGAGGAUCUGCUGGCUGACCGAGAAGAUGCACUCAAGGGGCUUCACGAUCUCUGCUCUGCAUGGCGACAUGGACCAGAAGGAGAGGGAUGUCAUCACGAGGGAGUUCAGGUCUGGCUCAAGCAGAGUACUCAUCGCUACGGACUUAUUGGCUCGGAAUUGAUGUGCAGCAGGUUCCUUGGUCACCUUCCUACAAAGAGGGAGAAUAAUAUUCGCAGGCUGCAUCAUCGCCCAAGCACGGGCAAGACUGCCAUGUUUGCCAUCUCUAUCCUGCAGAAUUGUACCCAGGCUCUGGUGCUGGCCCCCACCACAGAGCUGGCUCAGCAGGUAUGCUGUGCCUGAGGUCUGGAUGAACGUACAUGUUUAUCAGACCGAGGCGGCAUAUUUGGACAAUCUACAACUAAAAAGAGCCAGAAGGGACUUCUGGCUCUGGGGGACUACAUGGGGGCGGCCUGCCAUGCCUAAGUUGGGCACUAAUGUCUGCAAAGAGAUGCAGAAGCUGCAGACUGGGUCCCCCCGCAUAGUGGUAGGAACUCCAGGCUGGAUGUUUGAUGCUUAAUAGGUGACGCCUGUGGCCCUCCUGUCAGCCACCAUGCCUACUGAUGUGCUGGAGGUGACCAGGAACUUCAUGCGAGAGCCCAUUGGCAUUCUGGUGAAAUAAAAGGAAUUUCCCUAGAGGGUAUUAAGCCGUUCUACAUCAAUGUAGAGAGGAGUGGAAGUUGGACACAUUGUGCAACCUGUACGGGAUGCCAACAGUCACUCCGGCAGGCAUCUUCCUAACACCGGGAGGAUCUGCUGGCUGACCGAGAAGAUGCACUCAAGGGGCUUCACGAUCUCUGCUCUGCAUGGCGACAUGGACCAGAAGGAGAGGGAUGUCAUCACGAGGGAGUUCAGGUCUGGCUCAAGCAGAGUACUCAUCGCUACGGACUUAUUGGCUCGGAAUUGAUGUGCAGCAGGUUCCUUGGUCACCUUCCUACAAAGAGGGAGAAUAAUAUUCGCAGGCUGCAUCAUCGCCCAAGCACGGGCAAGACUGCCAUGUUUGCCAUCUCUAUCCUGCAGAAUUGUACCCAGGCUCUGGUGCUGGCCCCCACCACAGAGCUGGCUCAGCAGGUAUGCUGUGCCUGAGGUCUGGAUGAACGUACAUGUUUAUCAGACCGAGGCGGCAUAUUUGGACAAUCUACAACUAAAAAGAGCCAGAAGGGACUUCUGGCUCUGGGGGACUACAUGGGGGCGGCCUGCCAUGCCUAAGUUGGGCACUAAUGUCUGCAAAGAGAUGCAGAAGCUGCAGACUGGGUCCCCCCGCAUAGUGGUAGGAACUCCAGGCUGGAUGUUUGAUGCUUAAUAGGUGACGCCUGUGGCCCUCCUGUCAGCCACCAUGCCUACUGAUGUGCUGGAGGUGACCAGGAACUUCAUGCGAGAGCCCAUUGGCAUUCUGGUGAAAUAAAAGGAAUUUCCCUAGAGGGUAUUAAGCCGUUCUACAUCAAUGUAGAGAGGAGUGGAAGUUGGACACAUUGUGCAACCUGUACGGGAUGCCAACAGUCACUCCGGCAGGCAUCUUCCUAACACCGGGAGGAUCUGCUGGCUGACCGAGAAGAUGCACUCAAGGGGCUUCACGAUCUCUGCUCUGCAUGGCGACAUGGACCAGAAGGAGAGGGAUGUCAUCACGAGGGAGUUCAGGUCUGGCUCAAGCAGAGUACUCAUCGCUACGGACUUAUUGGCUCGGAAUUGAUGUGCAGCAGGUUCCUUGGUCACCUUCCUACAAAGAGGGAGAAUAAUAUUCGCAGAAUUGGUUGUGGUGGCUGUUUUGGCAGGAAAGGUGUGGCUGUAAACUGAGCGAGGAGAAGUGUAUUCUUCGGGACAUCAAGACGUUUCACAAUACAACAGUGGAUGAGAUGCCUUUGAAUGUGGCUGACCUGAUUUGAACCUGGAUGUUGAAUCAUUGCUAGCGGUCUUACACUCAUUGUGUUCAUUUGAGCAUUGAGGUAAGUUUGCGUUUCUUUGAAUCAGACUUCUGAUAUUUGUAAGAUAUGGUGUCUCAUGGACAGGUUAGAAUCAACAACUGUCCAUGAGACCAAGUCUGAUUCAAGAUAGGCAAGCUUACCUCAAUGCUCUGGGCUACACAGCUGAUUAAAAUAACUAGUGGGGUUGCAGGCUGACUCAUUGUGGCUUGUGAUGGUUUUAGCAUGUACAGUCUUUUUUUGUGUGCCAGCAAAGCCACAAACAAUACAUUACUUGUGCUCACACGGUGUCCACAAGCUUAGGACACAACAGCAGAGCUUUUCACAAUGUCGUGAAUCCUUACGACUACUACACCUGGUUAUCAGCGGAGCCUUGUCUGACAGCAACAGUUAUAUCAGCCUCAUAUACUACCUUUUAAUAAAACAAAAUGAAACAUG